UACGGAGGGUGCAAGCGUUAUCCGGAAUCACUGGGUUUAAAGGGUGCGUAGGCGGCCUAUUAAGUCAGAGGUGAAAGUUUGCAGCUUAACUGUAAAAUUGCCUUUGAAACUGAUGGGCUUGAAUAGCGUUGAGGUCAGCGGAAUGUGACAUGUAGCGGUGAAAUGCAUAGAUAUGUCAUAGAACACCAAUUGCGAAGGCAGCUGGCUGGGCGUUUAUUGACGCUGAGGCACGAAAGCGUGGGGAGCGAACAGG
rnacentral:rRNA from 1 species